rnacentral:rRNA from 1 species
GAUGAACGCUAGCGGCAGGCUUAAUACAUGCAAGUCGAGGGGCAACAGGGGUAGCAAUACCUGCUGGCGACCGGCAAACGGGUGCGGAACACGUACAGAACCUUCCUUUAAGCGGGGGAUAGCCCAUAGAAAUGUGGAUUAAUACCCCAUAGUAAUAUUGAUUGGCAUCAAUUGAUAUUUAAAGAUUUAUUCACUUAAAGAAUGGCUGUGCGGCUGAUUAGGUAGUUGGGGU